ensembl:lncRNA
UGGGAGUGUCCACCAUCGGGAGAAAUGAACGGUCAUCAACACAAUCCUCUGAGCGCUCAUCAUGUGAUCUUUCUAAAUGUCCACGGAAACAGUUGACUGAAGUUUGACAGCUCUUCUGCCAGUUUUAAUUUGGAAAAACGUACCCAGAGGAAGCAGUGCUGGAUACUUGCCUGGAUUACUGAGUCUUUUUCUGUGGCAAUAGAAUAGAUCUAUUGCACAUGACCACAUUUGAAGGUAUGUCUUAUCACCAAGUACACUCCUGCUGCAAUGAAUGCCCUUUUUGUCAGGAUUGACAUUGUUGGAUCUUUUCACUUAUCUAUCUCUAUCCCCAGUUAAAUUAAGGAAUAAACUAAUGCAUUCAACCUAGUUUAUGGUAAUGAGUGUGAAUAAGAGUAUUCAAGAGUAUUUCUGAGGCCUCAAAACAGCUGAUCAUGCUGGAACUCACAGUGCCCUGGGAAGAGUGGAUUGAGGAGGCCAAUGAAAGGAAACGACGACUUGGAAGACUUUCUAUGAGCCCAUAGAAGUGGGUUGUAGGGGUUUGCCAGACGAUCACUCUGCAAAGUCCUAGGCCGGCUGGGCGUGGCUGGGGCAGCCAAGAAGAGGGCCAUCCAGGCUGUGAGUGAAGCGGCAGAGAAAGCCACAAGGUAGCUGUGGAUCAAGAGGGCUGAUCCGUGGGUAGCUACGUACCGCAAGUCGGGGCCUGAUCACCCCCGGCUGGGUAUGAUGUUGUGAGACCCGAAACACCUGAUGACCCCAGGAUACAUCACUGAAGAUGCGUACCAGUGCAUCCAGGAGAUGUGUCUUUUAUACUAGUAAGACACAGCUCCAAAAGGACUUGCUGACAUGCUCCAAACAGGAACGCUGCUUGCAUAUUUCUGGUGUAGGAACUUGUGGGUCGUUUCAGGGCACCUUGAAACAACAACUGGUUGAAACAACAACAGCUGGUUUCAGUGGUUAAAAAAUGAAUCAUAGCAGCAUUGGUUUAAACUCUCUAAAGUCAAUUAACCACCUUUUCUUUCCUGAAAAACGCUAAUUUAGGAGAAGUGGAACGAUGUUCCCUCUGUUGUGGUUUCAUUCAUCCUCGAGCUGCCUCGUGCCUGCCGCUUGUUCCUGCAGUGAAAACGUACCUCAUGUAGAUGAUGUGCCCAUGCAGCACUGUAUGUACACAGAGUGAUGGGCGAAUGUUGGCUGACCCACUUCAAAGAGAACACUUUGCCCUCAGCCUGGAGGACUCAGAUGCCUUUGUACUUUUAUUGUAGAUGUAGGACGUUGUCACAUAUCUGUGUCGAAUAUUUGUCUUCACACGAGUCUUGUAAGCGAUUCAGAGUAAUAAUGUGUGGUCAAAGAGCUUCUGUUUCUCAUAUCAGAUGAAAUUUAUGCUUUAAUCUGUUGGAUAUGUUGUUAUUUAGAUAAAUAUAGUAUUCAAUACCUCUAUGAGCAGGUAGCUCCUCUGAACUGAAGCAGCAGAUACGAAAACCAAGAGCAACAACAGGAGUGAACCAAGAUACUGGUUUAAAACUAAAUAGCAGCGUUUUAAUGUGUUGUUUCUGCAAGAAGCGGUUAAGGAGCUUCCUUUCGUUACUGAACUGUUCACCACCACCUACUCUUGAACAAUGAGCUUUCUUCUCAGAUGCUGCAGGUCUAAAAGCUGGACUAGCAUGCAGUGAGUCACAGUGUCACUAAUGGAGCAUUUCAAAGGGUUUUCUGGGCCGGUUUGCUCUGCUGACUUGUUAAAUGAUACAUACAUAGCUGUGCUGACUCAAAGGAUCAUUUUUCUGUUUGUCUGCAAAGUAGCUCGUCCUCAAUCACUUUAAGCCUUGGAUGUUUUCUUUAUGGCUCGAUGAAACAGACGGUACAUUGUGUCUCGCAAAACAGACUGUCUGACGGCUCAUCAUAAAGUUCCUGCUGCAAAAUAAACCGCAUCACAGCCUUAGUGACAUGCAGCGUCGACUGUAAUGUUCCCUUGGUUAUCAUGCUUUGAAAGAUGUAUUAAAGGCGUAACGUAACAAGUGAAUAUUUGAUUUAGAAAACAUCAAACCCUCUAAUUGGUAAUCCUCUGCUGUCCAUAAGCACUCUGAUUAGGGACAGGCGCGAUCUCACAUACUUGAAGCAUGCAGAAGCACGGCUUGAGACCAGUUAAAUUGCCUGUUAGUGAUAUAAGAAAUCAGCAUGCUUGAAAAUUGUACUUAAAAAUAAUUGAGUUUAAUUAUUGUCAAAACAUGCCCAUGAAUUCAAACAAAGAAGACUGUGUAGCGCUAACUCUGCUGUUUGGUUUGGAGCUUGUAGGACAAAUGAUUUGAAAAGUGUUUAAGUAGGAAUCUCUCAGGCUUACAUCCUCCCGUCUCGUAUGUGUUGCAGAUGAGCUGUGCAGUGACAGCUCCUUGGAGCAGUUCUAAGCUGCGUUCAUGUUUUCAUAUUCAUGAGCUGUUGUCUUGUCUUGCUGUUGUAGUGUAUAUCUAGUAGUUGUUAUUCAACAGUAACAAUGCGUAUUAAACAUAAACUUAGUGUCAGGGACUAAAGGUUUUAACCAAAGGUCCACUAGGCUGUUGACGCUUUCCGGUGGGCAACAUGUUGGAUGCUGAUAAGUUGUUUAUUGCAGUGCUGGUUUACAUAUCCAUCAUUCCACUCAUUAGUGAUUGAGUGGCUUUUGUUCAGCUCUGUUUUUCUCUUUUUCCUGUUAUUUGAAUAUUGUAAUUUAUGUUUUUUAUUUUGUCUGCGCUUCUGCUUCGUUUAGCCAGUCCUGAUUCGUGAGUCAGAAGAGGAGAGGCUGGGCUGAUGGUAAGCUCUCUUACAAACUAUCUAACCUUCUCUAUUGCUCUCAUCCUCACUCUGUCGUUUCAUGUUGAUAAACCCAAAGAGCUGUGUUCAGCACAAACUGACAUUUAAAAGCCGAGCACUUGGAGUGGCCCUCUAUAUUACAGGAUGUAGCCUUCUCAUGAAAUGAGAAGCAAAGUGGGGAGGCCGCUGUGGAUCGUGGAGCACCUUACUCAGUUGAGAAAUAGAUUGUAGUCACUCUCCAUUUAGAUCUUCAUUUAUGUUUAUUUUACGUUUAGUUUGUUGUGGUCUCUUUGUUAGCAUCUGAAC